ensembl:lncRNA
AGGACUCCCUUCCCCCAAACCCUCCUCUUUUUUCCCCAAAGCCCGUGGUCAGCAGAGCGCCCCGUGUUGUGGCCGGGAUCGGUUUCACUAGCCUCCAUUCUAUCGCGGUUUUUAGGCCUCGCGGGCGAGGGGCUCAAGAGGAGAAGGAUGAGUAGAGGCUGGGGGCGCAAAAGAGCCCCAGCGCUUCUCCCCGAAGACCCCCGGCUGCGCAGCCGCAGUGGAUGCCGCGCCAGCAGCCGGGCUCCUGAAACUAACGCGUCCGCGCGCGCGCAGUCUCGCCCCAGCUCCCGGCGCCCAGCACCGCGCGUGUCCGUACCCGCGCCCAGGACGCCCUACUCCCAAGGCGCUUCUCUCUUUGCGCAUCCUACCUAUGCCUCGGAUUCUCACGCUCAGCGUGACCCGCGUCUUGGAUACCCAACGUCCUGUCCAUCCGGCGCCUGGACAUCCACUUUUCUCUUUACCCUAUGCCAGAAAACCCUCACACCCAGGUGGCCCGCGCCUAGGACACCCCACGUACGGAUCCCCCGGCGUCUUGGAGACCCUACAUUCUGUGCAUCUAGCAUUUGGCGCACCCUGACCUCAGACGUGGAUAGCUCUACUCACCUGUGCCCUCUGCCCUCCUCCUGUGUCCACGUGUGUUGAGCUCCAGUGCUGACCGACCUGGUGGCUGGGGGCCAGAUGUUGAGAAUGCCCUAGUGUCUUGCCAGUAAGACUGGAGUUCCUCUCUGGGGCAUCCCUGUUCAGUGGGUAAGGCAGGCACAGAAAGCAUGAUGGAAAUAGCCCUGGAAAGUAAGCAGGGUGCUAAGGGGAGUGGAUGGUGAACUGUCCAAGCCUUGAAGAGUGGGUGGGGUGGAGUUCUGUGUGCCCCUGCCUCUCCUGGAGGCUUCCUAUACCCCCACCUUGGGCACUGCUGGAGCCCCAUCCUGUCCUUUAUACCUCGGCUCAAGUGAAAAGGCAGGUAAAGGGGUCUCAGAAUUGAGCUGGGAGGAUAUUGUGUGGGUGGGGAUUAAUUCCAACUGCUGUCAUUGGCAGGGGCAAGGCAAUGCAUUCAGUUAACAAGCAUGUGUUGAGCACCUACUGUGCACCUGGCAUUGUGCUAGCUGCUGGGAACACAGCAGUGAAUAAGGCAGACAAGCUUCUCUGUUCUUGGGGCUGACAUUCCAAUCAGAAAGACAGAUGAGAAAUCAGACAAUUAAAAGGUACAGGAUGUUAGAGGAUGAUCAGUGCUAUGGAAGAAAAUUAAGGAAGACAGAACAUGGUGACCGGAGAAGGCAAUGGCACCCCACUCCAAUACUCUUGCCUGGACAAUCCCAUGGACGGAGGAGCCUGGUGGGCUGCAGUCCAUGGGGUCGCUAAGAGUCGGACAGGACUGAGCAACUUCACUUUCACUUUUCACUUUCCUGCAUUGGAGAAGGAAAUGGCAACCCACUCCAGUGUUCUUGCCUGGAGAAUCCCAGGGACGGGGGAGCCUGGUGGGCUGCCGUCUAUGGGGUCGCACAGAGUGGGACACGACUGAAGCGACUUAGCAGCAGCAGCAGCAGCAGAACAUGGUGAUGGCUGCAGUUUUAGAUAGAGGAGGUCAGGGAAGAGCUCACUAAGAAGGUGGUAUUUGGAUAAAGACUUAAAAGGAGUCCUGGGGAGAUCGGCGGUGGGGGGGAGGGGGUUCCAGGCAGAGAGAACAGCCAGCGUAAAGGUCCUGAGGUGGAAACAUGCUGGGUGUUCAAAGGAUCAAUGAGCGGGCCUGUGUGGCUGGAGGGAGGGGGUGAGGGCAAAAAGAGAGGAAGGUGAGGGUAGGGAGGUAAUGGGCUAGACCAUCCUGGCCUGAUGUGCUUCGGGGAGAAUUGGUUUUUAAUCGGAGUCACCUGGGAGCAAUGGAAGGUUCUAGGCAGAGGAGGGUUUUCCCCUGACUUAUAUGUUCACAGGAACCUUCUGGCCCUGGUAAGAUUUGAGAAGGAGCCAGGAGACUGGGGAGAUGGAUUCCACAGUCAAUCCAGCUGAGAGGUGAUGGAGGCCUGGAACAGGGUGCUGGGGAGAAAGGGCCAGAUUUGAGGCACAGCCUAGGGACAGAGCCAAUAGGACACGUUAGUCUUUGAAUCCCCCUUCCCCAGCAGAACUUCUCAAAUGUCACCUCUGGAUCACAGUGCGGACGCUGCACCUUCCUCACUCCCAAGAAACAAGAGUCCAGGAAGCCACCCAGGUCCAGUCUGAGCAACAGCUGGCAGGCAGCAAUGGUGGUCCAUUCCCGGUAAGGCACCAACUGGGAGGGGAGGCCAGUUGGGUUGCACUUCCCACCCCGACCGCUAGGGGCCGCUGCCCCGCUGCUCUGCGGCCGCCAGGUGAGGAGGAGGCCCCGCCUCUUCCCCAGCAGGUGCUCUGGUUGGUCGAGAGGGCAGGGGACUGGAGUAAAGAGAGCAGGGCUGGGGGAGGAGUUGGGGGAACGAAAUGGGGGUGAAGGGAGAGAGCUGAGCGAGUCCCACGUAGAGGAUGCUGAAAGAGGUGAGGUUGGAGGAGGCAGGUGAGGAGCCAGAGAUGGUUGACUGAGUGCUUGCGAGAAAGCAGGGGAGAGGAGGGGGAGUUGAGGUGUCUGGAGGAGAGAGGAGUUGGGGAGGGGGGGAAACUGAGGGUAUAGAGCAAAGUUAAGGGAAGGAAGACGGGUGAGCAGGUGAGGAGUCAGGGAUGGCCCUGGAGGUGAGGUGGACGUGACUGGGGGACAUUUGGACAGUGCGUGGGGACUGCUGGGAUGGUUGAGGGCUGGGCCUGGUCUGUGGGAAAUGAGGGACCCCAGAGAAGGCACCUGGCACUUUGCCAGUCGUGGCUGGUACGGACAGUGGGGGCGGGGGGGAGGAUAGUUUCUCAGAUCUUGACCCCAUGCGUCAGACAUGGGGGGAAAGCUUCUGAGGAGUGAGGUGUGCAGGCCAGGCUCCACGCAGGAGCCCAGUUUGCUUCUGCAAUCUGGCACUGGGGCUCUCCUUCAUACCCUGUACCCCCAUGGCUGGGAUUCACGGUGCAUUGAGCUGGGUGGUAAGCAGAUGAAUGAGACAGAGGCAGUCCCAGUUGGUUGGAAACCAGCAAGAUGUCCACGGAUGUGUGGGAUGGAAGACAGGGUCUGUGGGAGACCAGAGGCCCUCCCCAGCCAGGGGGCUCAGAGAAGGUUGCCCUGGGGAAGUGACUUGUAAGCAGACAGCAAGAAUCCAUCAGCUGAACAUAGAAGACCCUGAUGGUCUGGACAGAGAGGAGAUUCUGAGGACAUUGACAAGAAAAAUGCCAGCAGAGACUAGGCUGCAGUAGAGCCAUAAAAAGGGGGAAAAAGUGAUGCCUGACCUUGCACGGGCCAGGGCCAGGGCCCUCAAUGCCAGAUGCUGACACGGGAACAAGAAACAGAAAUGGGGCAGGGGUGAGGCAGUAAGGAGGGACAGUGACAGCUGUGGGGAGCUGGAGAUGCACUCCCUUUUAAGCCAGCAGCCGCUUGCUAUUCCUCAGCUUCAGCUGAGAGCUACCACGUGGGAAGCCAGGCUCUUGGAAUUGCUGCAUGCAGAACUUCCCUGAACCCAUGUCCCCUGCAUCAGAAACAUGGAGCCUUAACCACCAGAACACCAGGGAAUUCCUGACCAGCAUCCUUAGAAGAGAAGAGGAAAGGACAGUGGAAAAGGCCACAUGAAGAUGGCGGCAGAAGUUGGAGUGAUGCAGUCACACAGCAAGGCACACCUGGAAACGCCAGACGCUGGAGUGUGGGGCUUCCCAGGUGGCCCAGUGGUUAAGAAUCUGCCUUGUAAUGCAGCAGACACCAGGUUCCUUCCUGGUCUGGGAAGACCCCAUAUGCUGAGGGGCAGCUAAGACGGUGUGCCGCAACCAAUGAGCCCACGUGCAGCAACUACUGAAGGCUGUGUGUCUUAGAGCCUGUGCUCCACAAGAGAAGCCACCACAAUGAGAAGCCCACGCACUGCAACGAGAGAGUACCCUUGUUGGCUGCAACUAGAAAAAGCCCUCGAGCAGCAAUGAAGACCCCGUGCAGUCAAAAACAACUAAAAAAUUUUAAUUAAUUAAUUAAUUAUUUUAUUGAAGGAUAAUUGCCUUAUAGAAUUUUGCUAUUUCUGUCAAACCUGAACAUGAAUCAGCCAUAGGUAUACAU